rnacentral:rRNA from 1 species
ACGGAAGGCAGCAGUCGGGAAUAUUGCGCAAUGGAGGAAACUCUGACGCAGUGACGCCGCGUAUAGGAAGAAGGUUUUCGGAUUGUAAACUAUUUUAGACAGGGAAGAUAAUGACAGUACCUGUAGAAUAAGCUCCGGCUAACUACGUGCCAGCAGCCGCGGUAAUACGUAGGGAGCAAGCGUUAUCCGGAUUUAUUGGGUGUAAAGGGUGCGUAGACGGGAAAUCAAGUUAGUUGUGAAAGCCCUCGGCUUAACUGAGGAACUGCAACUAAAACUAAUUCUCUUGAGUGCGGGAGAGGAAAGCGGAAUUCCUAGUGUAGCGGUGAAAUGCGUAGAUAUUAGGAGGAACACCAGUGGCGAAGGCGGCUUUCUGGACUGUAACUGACGUUGAGGCACGAAAGUGUGGGGAGCAAACAGGAUUAGAUACCCUGGUA